rnacentral:rRNA from 1 species
GACGAACGCUGGCGGCGUGCCUAAUACAUGCAAGUCGAGCGGGCCUCCGGAGGUGCUUGCACCUCCGGACGGCCAGCGGCGGACGGGUGAGUAACACGUGGGCAACCUGCCUUUGAGGCCGGGAUAACACCGGGAAACCGGUGCUAAUACCGGAUACGUCCUCUUUCGCGCCUGCGAGAGGGGAGAAAGACGGUCUUUAAGGCCGUCGCUCAAAGAGGGGCCCGCGGCGCAUUAGCUGGUUGGUGGGGCAAGGGCCUACCAAGGCGACGAUGCGUUGCCGACCUGAGAGGGUGAUCGGCCACACUGGGACUGAGAAACGGCCCAGACUCCUGCGGGAGGCAGCAGUAGGGAAUCAUCCGCAAUGGGCGAAAGCCUGACGGUGCAACGCCGCGUGAGUGAGGAAGGUUUUCGGAUCGUAAAGCUCUGUUGUGGGGGAAGAACAGCAUCCGGAGGAAAUGCCGGAGGUUUGCCGGUACCUCACCAGAAAGCCCCGGCUAACUACGUGCCAGCAGCCGCAGUAAGAC